rnacentral:lncRNA from 1 species
CAAGAUUUCCCUUUUCACACAAUUGGCUUAUGCUCAAGAGAUUAUGCUUUAAUCCUUUAUCAAGUAAUAUAUGCUUAAUAGAGUAAUUUUCAUCCUUACCGACCGAGCCGAUGCCGAUGAUCUCUCCUUUAUUGCUAUCACCGAAGAUAACACUUCCUUCUUCUUUGUGCUCUAAUUGAAGGAAUUUGGAUUCAUCUCCCGUCAUAUGCUUGGAGCAUCCACUAUCAAGGUACCAUAGUACACUUGAUCCCUUCNNNN